rnacentral:tRNA from 1 species
GCAGUGGUGGUUCAGAGGUAGAAUUUUCAUCUUCCAUAUGGGAGAUCCAGGUUUGAUUCCUGACCAAUGUA